UGCGGAGGGAUCAUUACCGAGUUUACAACUCCCAAACCCAAUGUGAACGUUACCAAACUGUUGCCUCGGCGGGAUCUCUGCCCCGGGUGCGUCGCAGCCCCGGACCAAGGCGCCCGCCGGAGGACCAACCAAAACUCUUUUUGUAUACCCCCUCGCGGGUUUUUUUAUAAUCUGAGCCUUCUCGGCGCCUCUCGUAGGCGUUUCGAAAAUGAAUCAAAACUUUCAACAACGGAUCUCUUGGUUCUGGCAUCGAUGAAGAACGCAGCGAAAUGCGAUAAGUAAUGUGAAUUGCAGAAUUCAGUGAAUCAUCGAAUCUUUGAACGCACAUUGCGCCCGCCAGUAUUCUGGCGGGCAUGCCUGUCCGAGCGUCAUUUCAACCCUCGAACCCCUCCGGGGGGUCGGCGUUGGGGAUCGGCCCUGCCUUGGCGGUGGCCGUCUCCGAAAUACAGUGGCGGUCUCGCCGCAGCCUCUCCUGCGCAGUAGUUUGCACACUCGCAUCGGGAGCGCGGCGCGUCCACAGCCGUUAAACACCCAACUUCUGAAAUGUUGACCUCGGAUCAGGUAGGAAUACCCGCUGAACUUAAGCAUAUC
rnacentral:rRNA from 1 species